CGGCUGAUUGCAAUUUCGAAAAAAAUCUAAAACGAAAAUAUAUUUAUUUAGGCAAUAUUGCUAUAUUAACGCGGAUUGAUUUAUGAUUAUCAAUAAAUCCCAUCACCUUCCUGCUGUGACAGGAUAUUAGAUAGGAACUAAUUUAUUUGAUUGUGCAUGAUUUAUGUUAUUAUCAAUAACUAUAACGGUGAUCGUGAUUGACCUUAAUUUAUUGAUAUCAAUUAACACACGAAAUUCAUCAUAUUACGUGGAGAAUAAAUUCUACCAAUACAAACUUAUGGAAACAAAUGAAUUCAUUAGUUAUUAUGUAUCAAUCAUAUUGUCUCAUUGAUAUAUGUUAUAUCGCAUUGUUUGCAUAAUUGAUAGAGGCAAAAUCAUGGUUUCAUCAUUAAUGUUAAUUAUUCCUUCUGGUUAUUAAAAUAAUUUUGAUAUGACCACAUAACAUGUAUAAAUACGUCCUAGCUCAUAUCAUUCUCAACUCACAGCAAUCUCAUCCUCAGUAGCUCAUCGUAUACUAGCAAACAAUCACAGGGUUCAUGGCAUUGUUUAAUCCAGUUGCCGACUUGAAGCCAUUCAAGAACAUGUGGAGAGUCAGAGUGCAUAUCCUUCGCCUGUGGAAACAAUACUGUGCUGCCGGUGGUCUUACCAUUGAAAUGGUGCUUCUUGAUAUUAAUGUACAAGCUUCACUUGGUUGUCCUUGACAACACUGGUAAUUCAAAGUUCCUCUUAUUCGACCAUCUUGCAGUCCAAUUGGUUAACCAACCUUGCAUUGAGCUAACAUGAUCCAUUACUAAUGAGGUAAUUUUGAUAAAAGAAGACAAAAUAGAAGAUUCCUUUGGUACUGACUAUAUUCUCACACGUUUUUAAUCUGUGAGCCUUGCUUCUGAAGCUUGAAGACCCGGAUAUUCUACCCUUGGUUAUACAGUAAUGGGUCAUUUUUACUAAAGCAUGUAAGAUAUCAUUUUUUUGGGAUCAAAUCAUGUAAGAUAUCAUUUAUAAGAUUCAAAUGCUCUAUAAAUAUUCUCUCAUGUUCUUA